rnacentral:lncRNA from 1 species
AUGGAGCACAACAAACAACUGCAAAAUUGCAUGUUCCAUCUUUCUUAUAACUUGGUCACCCAACUCAGCUGCAUGUUUCCAUUGUCAACCUCAUACCAACGGUCCCAGGAAAAACAAGAGAGAAGCAAGCACACGAAGUCCCACAAUAAGGAGAACACUGAGAUCUGCUCUGUCAUCCUUGGGUUCUGGUGGUCAGUCCUCUACCUUGGGAAGGAUGCAACAUACAAAUCAGAUGCAGAGCAGAAAAACCCUUAGCUAACAAUCAGAGAAAUACGAAGAGGCAUGCUCAAGAGUUCAUUACCACAUGGUUGGGAAGAAUGAGAAACUGGAAACAACCUAAAUGCCAAUCAGUAAAGAAAUGGUUCAACAGACUUUGGCAGAGCAAUACAUGGAAUUCAUUGCAAAGGUUAAAAAUAAAAGAAU